rnacentral:rRNA from 1 species
UACAGAGGUGGCAAGCGUUGUUCGGAAUUACUGGGCGUAAAGGGCGCGUAGGCGGUCUUUUAAGUCUUGUGUGAAAUCCCUCGGCUCAACUGAGGAACUGCACGGGAUACUGGAAGACUUGAGUUCGGGAGAGGGAAGCGGAAUUCCGGGUGUAGCGGUGAAAUGCGUAGAUAUCCGGAGGAACACCGGUGGCGAAGGCGGCUUCCUGGACCGAUCACUGACGCUGAGGCGCGAAAGCUAGGGGAGCAAA